GGCAAGCUGGCAGGGACAUCUGUCACAGUGCUGAUGGCCAGCAUGGAUUUGGCUGGUCCAGCUGGCUGGGCAGGGUUCCUCCUCUUCC
ensembl:misc_RNA 7SK 7SK RNA